GUCCACGCUGUAAACGAUGGGUGCUAGGCGUCGGGUGGAGCGACCCUCCCGGUGCCGUCGCUAACGCAAUAAGCACCCCGCCUGGGGAGUACGGCCGCAAGGUUGAAACUCAAAGGAAUUGACGGGGGCCCGCACAAGCGGUGGAGCAUGUGGUUUAAUUCGAUGCAACGCGAAGAACCUUACCUGGGCUUGACAUGUACGUGAAAGCCGGUGGAAACACCGGUCCUCCUUCGGGACGCGUACACAGGUGCUGCAUGGCUGUCGU
rnacentral:rRNA from 1 species